AAUUUCUGCUGCUCCGCAUUCGUUCCUUUUUUGGUUUCGUUUGCGUUGUGGCUUUUUUCUGGUUGAUUUGGCUUCGGCCUUUUUUUCCAGAUUUUUUACUUUGAGAAAAUUAGAGUGCUUCAAGCAGGCUUUUGCCUUGAAUACUUUAGCAUGGAAUAAUAAAGUAGGACUUUGGUUCUAUUUUGUUGGUUUUCGAACCAAAGUAAUGGUUAAUAGGAACAGUUGGGGGCAUUCGUAUUUAACUGUCAGAGGUGAAAUUCUUAGAUUUGUUAAAGACGAACUACUGCGAAAGCAUUUGCCAAGGAUGUUUUCAUUAAUCAAGAACGAAAGUUAGGGGAUCGAAGACGAUCAGAUACCGUCGUAGUCCUAACCAUAAACUAUGCCGACUAGAGAUUGG
rnacentral:rRNA from 1 species